UCUCGCUUGACGGGGUGCCGGUGAUUCCGGCUGAGAUAGCGCAGAUGCCCGCCGUGUUGCCACGGCCGCAUCCCAAGCGCUGGUCCCGUUGAACCUGAUCCGGCUAAUUUCUUCAUCGCGUUUCGCGCGGUUCGAGGAAGGGUACCGGCGUAGGGAUCAAGCACUGGUGCACU
rnacentral:ncRNA from 1 species